UGAUUUAAAUAUUGCAGCAGCUGGAGUGCAAAGCAUAUCAGCAAAUACUAUAGGAGGAGGAGUGCAUGUGUCCUGAAUACAAAAUUGAGAAUGUGGGGCACAGAGUUCAAAUGAUGGUACACAAAGACUAAUUCAUUUUGUGAGGAAGCAGGUGCAAAGAGGUAAUGAGAACAUGAACCAGUCUCAUAUAGCUCGUAAUGGUAGGACUGAGAUUGAGAUAGCCUGAUUCCAGUGUCCCUGCACUUAACUACUAUGCAUGAUUAAACAUUAAUUUAAGUAUUAAUUAUUAAACCAAAAAUCAAAGCAAAACACCUGUCUUUUUAAAAUGGUUAAAUUGUUUUAUUUUUUAAAAAUUGCUGUAUUAUGUAUGAUUGAUUAUUAUGUAGGUAUGAUUAACAUACAAAAAGCUACACAUACUUAAUGCAUACAACUUAAUGAGUUUGAAGAUAAGUAUACACCUAUGAGACCAUUAUCACAAUCUGUACCAUAAACAUAUCCAUCACAAAU